GCCUCUGUAGCUCAGUUGAAUAGAGCGCACCCCUCCUAAGGGUGAUGUCGCAGGUUUGAGUCCUGCCAGGGGCACCA
rnacentral:tRNA from 2 species